rnacentral:tRNA from 1 species
UGCGGCGUAGCUCAAACGGAUACGAGAGCGCUCGUCCUGUAAACGAGUCGGUGCGGGUUCGAGCCCCGCCGCCGCAG